rnacentral:rRNA from 1 species
AGCUAUAAUGCAGUCGAGCGAACAGAUAAGGAGCUUGCUCCUUUGACGUUAGCGGCGGACGGGUGAGUAACACGUGGGUAACCUACCUAUAAGACUGGAAUAACUUCGGGAAACCGAAGCUAAUGCCGGAUAACAUGUAGAACCGCAUGGUUCUACAGUGAAAGAUGGCCUUGCUAUCACUUAUAGAUGGACCCGCGCCGUAUUAGCUAGUUGGUAAGGUAACGGCUUACCAAGGCAACGAUACGUAGCCGACCUGAGAGGGUGAUCGGCCACACUGGAACUGAGACACGGUCCAGACUCCUACGGGAGGCAGCAGUAGGGAAUCUUCCGCAAUGGGCGAAAGCCUGACGGAGCAACGCCGCGUGAGUGAUGAAGGUCUUCGGAUCGUAAAGCUCUGUUAUUAGGGAAGAACAAGUGCGUAAGUAACUGUGCGCACCUUGACGGUACCUAAUCAGAAAGCCACGGCUAACUACGUGCCAGCAGCCGCGGUAAUACGUAGGUGGCAAGCGUUAUCCGGAAUUAUUGGGCGUAAAGCGCGCGUAGGCGGUUUCUUAAGUCUGAUGUGAAAGCCCACGGCUCAACCGUGGAGGGUCAUUGGAAACUGGGAGACUUGAGUGCAGAAGAGGAAAGUGGAAUUCCAUGUGUAGCGGUGAAAUGCGCAGAGAUAUGGAGGAACACCAGUGGCGAAGGCGACUUUCUGGUCUGUAACUGACGCUGAUGUGCGAAAGCGUGGGGAUCAAACAGGAUUAGAUACCCUGGUAGUCCACGCCGUAAACGAUGAGUGCUAAGUGUUAGGGGGUUUCCGCCCCUUAGUGCUGCAGCUAACGCAUUAAGCACUCCGCC